AAAACGUCGCUGGCGGCCGCUUACACAUGCAAUGUCGAACGAAGUACAAUACUUAGUGGCAGACGGGUGAGUAACAUGUGGGUAUCUGCCCUUUGGCCUGGAAUAACACGAGGAAACUUGUGCUAAUACCGGAUAAGUCUUUACGGAGAAAGCUUUAUGCACCAUUGGAUGAGCCCGCACUUGAUUAGUUUGUUGGUGGGGUAAUGGCCUACCAAGACUGUGAUCAAUAGCUGAUUUGAGAGGAUGAUCAGCCACAUUGGGACUGAGACACGGCCCAGACUCCUACGGGAGGCAGCAGUGGGGAAUAUUGCACAAUGGGCGAAAGCCUGAUGCAGCAACGCCGCGUGCGGGAUGAAGGCCCUAGGGUUGUAAACCGCUUUCAGCAGGGAAGAAAAUGACGGUACCUGUAGAAGAAGGUGCGGCCAACUACGUGCCAGCAGCCGCGGUGACACGUAGGCACCAAGCGUUGUCCGGAUUUAUUGGGCGUAAAGAGCUCGUAGGCGGUUCAGUAAGUCGGGUGUGAAAACUCUGGGCUCAACCCAGGGACGCCACCCGAUACUGCUGUGACUAGAGUGCGGUAGGGGAGCGGGGAAUUCCUAGUGUAGCGGUGAAAUGCG
rnacentral:rRNA from 1 species